rnacentral:misc_RNA from 1 species
GGAGGGAUCAUUAACACACAAAUUAUAUCCACUUUGAGAUUGUUCUUCUUUUUUUAGUAGUUUUCUUUUUCAAGAAAUUGGAAUCGAGGGCGAAAGGAAGGGGAAGGGCGAUCUAAAGCACCGUGAAAUGUUGAAGUUAUUAACCUUAUUAAUCGAUUCAUUUCGAUUUUUUGGGUUUUUUUUAAAACUACAAUUUACAAUUUUUUGUCUGAACAAAGUUUUUUUUGUAAAGAGAAUUCAUUCUUUCAAGAAGGUCUUCUUUUAAAACAAGAAAAAAAAAUUAUUGAACCAAAAACAACUUUUAACAACGGAUAUCUUGGUUCUCGCAACGAUGACGAGCGCAGCGAAAUGCGAUACUUAGUGUGAAUUGCAGAAUUCAGUGAAUCAUCGAGACCUUGAACGCAUAUUGCACCUGUAGGUUCUCCUACAGGUACAUCUGUUUGAGUGUCGACUUAACCAUCACAACAAAAAAUAACACGUUUGUUUUUUGAAGUGGAAUUGAAUGUCUGAGACGAGAAAUUUAUUAUUAAUUUUUCGGAUCAGUCAUUUUAAAGAUAGAAGUGUGAAUCGCAAAAGAGACUCCAUCUUCGAUUCCAAAGUAGUGUUUUAGACGUGCUUUUUCAUUAAAGUGUGAAAAAUUCUCUACAAGUAAGAUCGAAUUUUCGAUGAGAGAGACUAUUGCCACAUUAAAAAAGAUGGUUUUAGAGUCGUAAAAAGACACUAAAAUAAUGACACCAAAAAAAACAUUCGACCUCAAAUCAGAUGAGAAUACCCGCUGAACUUAAGCAUAUUAAUAAGCGGAGGAAAAGAAACUAACAAGGAUUCCCGUAGUAACUGCGAGUGAAGUGGGAAAAGCUCAAGCUUAAAAUCUGGGGCGGUCUACGUCUCUGAAUUGUAGUUUUGUGAACGGCUUCACGGGUAGGCUGCUGCAAUAUAAGUUCCCUGGAACGGGAUGCCAAAGAAGGUGAUAGCCCUGUGCAUGAUUGCAGAGUACCGGCUUGCCAAUACGUGCUGCUAGUUCAGAGAGUCGGGUUGUUUGGGAGUACAGCCCAAAGUGGGAGGUAAAUUCCUUCUAAAGCUAAAUAAUGGCGAGAGACCGAUAGCGAACAAGUACCGUGAGGGAAAGAUGCAAAGAACUUUGAAAAGAGAGUUAAAAGUGCUUGAAAUUGUUAAAAGGGAAGCGAUUGGAAGCAGUACAUGUUUGCUAUCAACUCACUUAUUAUUGCAGUGUUGGUGUGGUGUCGUUUGAGUAAUCCAUUGUGGUUAUCUCGGCAUUAUAUUCAGGCAUUGUAUUAGUAGGGCAUUUUGGUGGUAAAUGAGUCAAUAUCAGUGAGAUGAGUGGGAGAAUAGUUUGGAGAAGGUGAUAUGGUGGUAGCUCUCGGGUUAUCAUUGUGUGUUAAACUCUGGAUGAAUACCACUUGUCUGACUGAGGCAAUUUAUGAUUGAUAACUGGCGCCUUCUUGGCGGAGUAAGGGUGGGACUGAGUUGUGUUGGCGGUGAGGACAGCUUGCUGUGCUUGUUGACCAAUGUGAUUCAUUGCCUAUUACACUACAUGCUAGUUAGAGAUAUUGACCGAAUGUUUCCAAUCGUCCCGUCUUGAAACACGGACCAAGGAGUCUAACAUAUGUGCGAGUGAAUGAGUGGCAAACUUAAACGCGUAAUGAAAGUAAUUGGUGGGAGUCAAUAAGACGCACCAUCGACCAAUUUUGAUAUUUUUGGAUAGAUUUGAGUUGGAGCAUAUAUGUUGGGACCCGAAAGAUUGCGAACUAUGCUUGCAUAGGGUGAAGCCAGGCGAAAGUCUGGUGGAGGCUCGUAGCGAUACUGACGUGCAAAUCGUUCGUCAAAUGUGUGUAUAGCGGCGAAAGACUAAUCGAGCAAUCUAGUAGCUGGUUUCCUC